rnacentral:rRNA from 1 species
GAGUUUGAUCCUGGCUCAGAACGAACGCUGGCGGCGCGCCUAACACAUGCAAGUCGAACGUGAUCCAGAGCUUGCUCUGGUGAAAGUGGCGCACGGGUGAGUAACGCGUGGAUAACCUACCCUGGUAUCCGGGAUAACAUUCCGAAAGGGGUGCUAAUACCGGAUAAGCCCACGGGCUCUUUGGAGCUUGCGGGAAAAGGUGGCCUCUAUUUAUAAGCUACUGUAUCAGGAUGGGUCCGCGUACCAUUAGCUAGUUGGCGGUGUAACGGACCACCAAGGCGACGAUGGUUAGCUGGUCUGAGAGGAUGAUCAGCCACACUGGAACUGAGACACGGUCCAGACUCCUACGGGAGGCAGCAGUGGGGAAUUUUGCGCAAUGGGGGAAACCCUGACGCAGCAACGCCGCGUGAGUGAUGAAGGCCUUUGGGUCGUAAAGCUCUGUCAGAGGGGAAGAAAUGAUAUAGUGCUAAUACCACUUUAUCUUGACGGUACCCUCAAAGGAAGCACCGGCUAACUCCGUGCCAGCAGCCGCGGUAAUAC